UACGUAGGGGGCAAGCGUUAUCCGGAAUUACUGGGUGUAAAGGGAGCGUAGACGGUGAUGCAAGUCUGGAGUGAAAGGCGGGGGCCCAACCCCCGGACUGCUCUGGAAACUGUGUAACUUGAGUGCAGGAGAGGUAAGCGGAAUUCCUAGUGUAGCGGUGAAAUGCGUAGAUAUUAGGAGGAACACCAGUGGCGAAGGCAGCUUACCAGACUGUUACUGACGCUGAAGCACGAGAGCGUGGGUAGCGAACAGG
rnacentral:rRNA from 1 species